rnacentral:rRNA from 1 species
UACGGAGGGUGCGAGCGUUGUCCGGAAUCACUGGGCGUAAAGGGCGCGUAGGCGGCUGGGGAAGUCGGUGGUGAAAGCUCGUGGCUCAACUACGAGUCGGCCAACGAUACUCCUCGGCUCGAGCACUGUAGAGGCAGGUGGAAUUCCGGGUGUAGCGGUGGAAUGCGUAGAGAUCCGGAAGAACACCGGUGGCGAAGGCGGUUAGCUGGGCAGUAGCUGACACUGAGGCGCGACAGCGUGGGGGAGCAAACAGG